GGGUUUUGGUGAUGAUACGGGCAGCGGAGUUGUGGACCAGUUGAAGUUUAUGGAGAGACGUGUAAGGGAGACCGAAGAGGAGGGAGUUGCAGUAAUCCAGACGGGAGGUGACGAGACUGUGGACGAGGAUGGAGGUGGUGUUGGGGGAGAGGGAGGGGCGGAGACGAUUGAUGUGGCGGAGGUGGAAAUAGGCAGUGCGAGUGGUAAGGCUGAUGUGGGAUUUAAAAGAAAGGGAACUUUCUAGAUUACUUUCUAAACAACAUUUAUUUCUAAUUGAGAUUCAACAAGGAUGUCAAAUCACUGAAGUGACUGAACCCCACUGAGUUGUCUCCGUAUUCUUGAAAGGGUCAGUGAGGCCACCUGUGGAUAUCCACCCCUCUGAUGUAGCCAAGACACUAGUGGUGAAGGGUCAGGGCUGGAAAACUCAUCCUAGACACUGUGACCUGCUGGCUCUCUGACUAUCUCAUCACCUGUUGUCAUGUUUGGGGGUUAUCUUAGCUUCUCAAAAGAGCAUAAAUGUUGAUACAAGGCGAUGGAUUGUUUCAGAUUCCCGGGUUUAAUGACAGAAACAAUCCCUGCAGAGUUGAAGCACAGAGGUUAGUUCAGCAGCUCUACCUGCAUGUGUGUCGAGGUUUCCACACUCCUCUCCAGUCCAAUUAAGACUCGUUUAGCUGAAAAGCAUAUUGAACUAACUAGCUGCUUUAGUGACCAUGCCCUCCUCCUAAUCUCACCAUCAUUUCGCCAGCCUUCCUCUGUCACUCUCUCGACCGUCUGCCACUGCUUGUCUGUCUGCUGUGAGUCAGCGUGUUGGUGCAGACUCACCUUAAUUUGGUCCAGAGGGAACCUGUGUCUGCUGCAGAGUUACAGUCUGUCACAGUCAGACCUGUGGAGCGUUUGGGGGAAACCAGCUGAAUGUUAACAAACACACAGAGACAGACCUCCAGGUUUUUGAGCAAUAUGAGGUAAAUAUACGAGCAGGGGAAAACACAAGUGACACUGAAUACUGACUAAAGAGGGCACUUUACCUGCAGACACACUGAUAGUGGGCUUAUAUGUUGACUCGGACACAAACACACAAACACACACCUUCAUGGACGAAAAGAAAAAGUUCUUUUUUCUCUUAGUGGAGCUGUUUUGGGUCUUUUAAACCCAGCUGGAUUUUUUGUCCUUGAAUCUUUCCUUACAGUCUUCUCAGGGUGAUGAUUACCAAGUGGGUUGCCUGACUAAUAGGUCACCACAGUCUGGCAGCGUCUGCAUAUUGUUCCAUAUUUGUCUGUCACCUUUUCUCCUUUCUCAUUUCCCAGCAGGGAUCCAAAUUUCCUCCACAGAAUGGAUAAAACCCGCUGAAGCAUCCACAAGGUCCUUUACCGUGAGGAUCUAUUAUUUCAUACCAACACAGGUCCACGGCAGGAUCAGGGGGGCUUUUUUAGGCAAUGCUAUACUGAACGACACUGAAUUCAACCAACUGUCUUCAGUUUUUAGAAGUUACAUCAAAAAGCCAGAAAAGUCCAAUGGCGUAGGUUUUCAUCUGUCACUGUUUUUAAUUUACCGACACGCCCAUAUCAGUUAGGAUAUGCUUACUUCAUCAAAAUACACAGCAAAGGUGGAAGGAAGUGCCAGUUUUCGGGGGAAAUCUUGGAUGUAAACACCACUCCCUUUGUGUCGGCAGUCGUGGCCAAAGGAGGAUUCGGAAAAAUUUCUGUACUUUCUGGAUGCUUUCUACUGUCCGAUAUUGUAGCACGCUAACUUUGUUUGAGCUCAUGAAUGUUAUUCAAGGACGUGGACCGUGCCUCACAACACGGGGGAGCAGCAUCCCCCUCACAACCAGUCAGGUUGGGGGAGGCGGAGAAUGGCUUUCAGAAAGAGCGGGCCGCUCAAAAAAUUUAAAAUGUUGACUAAACAGACGUAACAAAACACAGCGAUAUCAUGAUAUUCCUAAAAGUCAUCAAUAACUGAUAUUAAAAGCUGUUUUGUAUAUAAACCACAAAAAAAGAUGCUUCUUUAACAGAUUCCUGCGUACCCCACCUUUAAGUUAAGGUAAGUUUAGAGACAUACCACCAUUUAACGUGGUAAGAAAGUGGACAUAAGUCAGAGUCAGUGCCUGAAAAUUGGAACAAUUUAGUAAAAUCACCUCAGUUAGCCAUAAUGGUAGCUUGACAGGAUCCUCUGUCUGUUAUACACUUACUAAGUCGCCAACCCUAUAUAAACAACUUCAAAAAAGAACUAUCCCUUUAACGCCCUUUAACCCCUCGCUUUAGUCUUGUUACGAUUACAACAACCGCUGACAGUGACGGCUCUAUCCUAUCUUACACUGAGAAACAUUGACGGUGGCGUUCCAGAUAGCCAUUCUCCACCCCAUUAUUAAUUCAUAUAAUAUCACAUGUUGGAAUGAGGUUCUUCAUCCGUCAUGUGAGCGUUCACAAAAGAUGAUAUCGAGUUAAUAUAAAAUUCAGCUCAUAUCAGAGAUCCCGCUGAACAUGGCACCUUUGAUACCUGCAAAGUAACUGUGAAAAAUCUCCUCACAGCCCCGCUCUGCUGUGAGAAAUGAGGCAAUAUGUUUCUAAACUGUAUCCCAAUUCAUAAUUCAAAAUGCUGCGUGAUUAACUUUCUUCUCCGGAGCCUUAAUGUGAUACCAAAUUAAAUAAGUGCUGGAAGAGAGAGAGAGGGAGAGGGGGAGGCAACGAAAUAUCAAUUUAGAGGCUUAGGGAGAAAGAGUUGGAGUAGACGGCAGAAUGAGGCUGUGAGGAGAGGUUAUGAUAGAGUGGUGGAUAAGAGGAGGAAAAUAAGGGGGAGGAUAAGGCUGGAACACACCUCUUAGUCUUGUGAGGGUGUCUGUUUCUGCAUACAUGCAAGAGCAUGCAUGGUGUUGGUGUUUUGGGCCUAUGAAGGACUGAGGUGAAGCAGGUGUUCACGAGAUAACGAUGCAGGUGUCCUCAUCUUUUGGCAUCCCGGGAUUGACCCCAAAUGGUGACAUGGUCUAUAAAAAGCAAACUAUAUGCUUGGGUUAUUUGAGGAAUCAAAUACAUUACUACUAGUAAUGUGUGGUACGGAUGAGGUCUUACACUCAGAACUGACCACGCCUUCUUUUAGCUGAAAGUGGUCCAUCCAGGUAUGGUCAAAAUGAACAGCAGUCAACAGGAAUUCAGGGUUUCUUUCGCAACGUAGUCGUCUAAAACAGAAAACACGAUCAUUUUCGACUAUCAAGAGUUCAGAUCUAGAAGUCCUGACAUUUUUGAUCAGUUGUCGGCGGUGUAGCAUUCGAAAAGGUCCAAAUUUAAAGGGUCCCAUUAGUGUACGUUCAGUCCGUUUAUCACACUUAAGCUAAUAUGUUGCGAAAAUCUAGAGUUUCUUUUUCUAACAGUCAAAAGGAGCAGGGUCACAACCAAAGGGUGAAGUAACUGGAUGGUUGUACUCAUAUCAUGACCCGUUGAUCACUACUGGGAAUACAUUUCAAAUAGUACUUUCACUUCAGGUACCAAAAAUAACAGCAGGGGGGGAUAAAGAGACAGCUAAAACCCCAACUUUGAAGUUUUAACCCG